ensembl:lncRNA
UGACAGGACUGACACCAGAAAACAAAAUCCAGCAUUUAUCCCAUCCAUGUCAGCAAAACUCUCAGGAGGAGGAUGGAAAGCUGCUCAGAAACCUCAUCCUCCAGACACAGCAAGCAGUAGGUGAGAUGCCUGUCCGUCUCCAGUGCUUUGGUGCAGGUCCAAGCCCACCUCUUACAAUGCUGGUGAUUUAGCACAGGUGCUUAUUUCUGUAAGUUUACAACUAAAUGUGUUUUCAGUUGGCUGUGGACUAAGAGGUGUUUGGAAGAUGAAGCCACCUGAGCUAACAGAGGGUGUGGGCUGGGGGCAGUGGUGGUAUUUCACAGCCAUUGAUGGCAGGUGGAGGGGACAGUGUGGGUUGUUACAAGAGAUAAAGGGAUGGCCAUGGGCACUCUCCUAGAAGCAGAUAAAAGAGGAGGUCUGAGCUUCAGAACCAAGGAGAGGCAAGCCACCUGGUGCCACUGAGCUUUGAAAGAGCAGCUCUAAGCCAUGGGACUGUGAGAAAACUCAAGCAACUGACAAAAGAUGAUCUUGGUAGCGGCAUUUUGGGCAGAUUGUUGAGAGUCAGAAUUAGUCACCAGGUGCUUCCUGCCUCAGCCCCUUCAUUUGCAGGAGGUGCAUGUUGAUAAAGAUCAGGGUUCAGAUCCAAACCCCAAAUCUCAGUUGCUCUAAGCAUGCAGAGCUAGGCAGCCAGUUCUGCAGCUGAAAUUCAUAGUGAAACCCAGGGGUGCGAGGCACCGGUGCGUGCCCCACCUGCGGGGGAGCAGGAUGCGUGCUGAGACUGUCUCUGCAGAGAACACGGAGAUCCUCAAAGGAAUUGCAAUAAUGACAAUAGUAAUAAGAGAAGGAAGAAAGGAAAGAAAGAAGAAAGCAGAUGUUGGGAGUGUAGCAGAUCAAGGUGUGAGCUAGGGUGAGCCUGUCCCAGCUUUGGCACAGCUGUCAGUCUGGCCUUGGUCAUAGUUCUCAUACCUCGGACAUGAUAUCUGAUGAUUUUCUCCUAAUGAUGACAGCUUGUAGCUCCAGAUAUACCUGUGAUUAUAGGUGCUAUACUCACUUUUCCUUAAUUUUCUCUCUAGAGUAUGCAGUCAGUCCUGCCUUGUGGAGACAAAGUGUAUAUGAGAACUGGAAGGACUUCGUUAGCCUGCUAAUGGUACAGAAAGCAGAUGGGGAACUGGGAAUCAUUGAGUUCAAAGUAACGGUCAGACUGUGCUACAUCGUUCUCCCUCAGCAGGCAGCAUUGAGAGCAUGUGAGGAGAUAAGUUGGCACUACACAGUGCAGCACAGUUCAUCUCCAUCAUCGCACAAAGAAGACCAACAGGAGCAAACCUGGAGAUAAGUGCUGCAGUCCAUCUGUGUGGGCUUUCGGUGUUGAGUCCUUCAUACCAGAGCUUCCCACUGCAUUUCAGAUGAGGUUACAGGAAGCUUGUCUCAUGAAGGAAAGCACAAUUCUGUAAGUAAAAGCAUAGCCCUUAGUAACAGUUUAAUGAAAAGCAUGGAGUCACUUUGUUGGGGGGAAUUUUUGUUGCUCAGGACCCAUAGCUGACAGUCUUUGGAUUGGAGAAGGAGGCUAAAGGCUGUGAUGCCACUUCACUGGCCCUGGAUUCACUCUUCCCUCAUCUCCUUCACUGCCAUCAGCAAGUGUGGUGGGUCUUCUGUUGGUGAUCAGCUUUAUUAGGCUUACUCCUUGCUAAGUGUUUGUUCAGACAGGAGUCCUGGAGGGAGAAGAGUGCAGCUCAGACAGCCCUAGAGCUCAGCUGGUGGACUUGUGACACGGCUCUCACCAGCCAGAAAGCUCCAGAGAGUAUCCUACCAGGGCUGCUGGGACACAAGGCACACAUACUUCCAACCCUUCCUUAAGGCCUGCUCCACCAACCCCUUCCAAGCCUUCACUUGGAUGGGCUGGAAAACUAUCACCUAGAGAGAGUAACUGAAGGAGGCAGCGAGCUUCAAGCAGUGUUGUGCUUGAAAGUGUUUCUGGUCUCCCAGUGUUUACUCUUCUCUCCAGAAGAGUGGGUAGGUGGCAGAGCACUCCUGGAGGCUGCUGUCCUAAAGCUGCUUUUAACAAGGAUACCCUGUUGUGUUUAUCUGUCAUGGACUUCUCAAAACUCUAAACUAACUUUGUCUGACUUAGUAUACUGACAAUUGUGAGAUGUUUCUAAAAGACCUUUGCUAUCAAUGGAGCAAUGCGUGGGUCAUUCUGUACCCCAGAAACAACUGGAUUUGCCUUCAUGGCCUCUCCCUGUAACAGCUGUGCUCCAUCCCACUGCAGCAUAGAUCCAGUGAGGAUAGAUGUGCACCCCUACCAAUUGAGAAGCAGAGACAGCUUUCAACAAAUGGUUAAAAGAAGUAUCUGGCAUGCAGCCAAUCACUGAAAAAUCCUAAAGCAGCAUUGAUUUUUUUCCUAGUGAAAGAGAAGAGCUCUGCUCACACAGUCCAUCCUGCUCCCAGGCACCUGCAGUGCCCACCCCUCCUGUUAAUUCACUUCAGGGCAGGUUGUUAGUUAAAACAUACUGCUGAAAGUUGUCCAGCUCAGGUGAGGUGCAGGCUUAAGUGCUGGGUGUCUUUCCCCACCCUUCCCCCUAAACACGUCCUGCUAAGGCUUAAAGUAUUAGAUUCUUCUGGGAUCUGCUUAGCACACCGAGAAAAUUGUCUUGUUAAAGCUAUGAUGGAUUAUGUCAAAGGCAUACCCAGGGGCUGGGUACUGGGUAAUCCAAUAAAGUCCAAGCCAGAACAAUGUUUCA